CAGGAGAUUAAGAGAAAGUUUGGUGUCAGAAGACAAAGAAUUGUGGACCAUGUGCCUCUGGAGGACCCACCUGGACAUCAGAGAGCAAAAAAGUACAGAGUGGGGGUCCAGAUGUCUUCUGAUUACGAGCCAACACAAGAGAUUAUGUUGGACCUUAUAGCAGUUGGGGAGGACUACCACAGCUUUCAAGAGCAUACGCCAUAAACAAUUAGUUGUGCCGUCGUCAGCCAGAUAUUAGUCAUAUAAUGGACAGGAUGAGGCAAACUGUCUAUAAGAGGGUAGAGUAAAUGGGAAAGCCAACUGAGGAGGUGAUGGAGAUGUUCCAAUUUCUUUGGGUGCCAGAGCUGAUGCAUCAUGAAAUGAAGUUGCGGUUUGGACUGGACUUAAAGCUAAGCCUGCAUAAUACCCUCAGUAUAUUGACCCCUAACGUCAUCAGAGUGGCUGACAGUGGGAGUCAGAGGGAGAGGCUGUCAAGCCUACGAGAUGCUAACACAGAU